rnacentral:tRNA from 1 species
GCGGGUGUGGCGUAGUGGUAGCGCGCAACCUUCCCAAGGUUGAAGUGGCAGUCCGAUUCUGCUCACCCGCU